rnacentral:lncRNA from 1 species
CAACAACUCCAUUCAUCCAUUGUUUUCUUCUUGUCAUUGGAAUCAAUCUCUUUUGCAUGUUCAUAGUUUAUUCUCUCACUCAAUUUAUUAAUUUUUAUUUUCAAGUCUUAUUAUUUUAAUUCACGCGAACGAUAAAGCCUUUUGAGUCUCUUGGGAAAACGAUACUUGGUCUUACCAUUUUUAUUACUUGAACGAUUUGGUACGCUUGCCAAUCCGUUAACAUGAUGAAAGCAAGAGAGACACCAACAUUGAAGAUGGAAUGUGAGCUUUAUUGGGUCUAGCUAAUGACGUUAAAAGAGCGCAUGUUGGGAGGCACCCCAGUGAUUUGAAAACAUUAGUUUUUUGAUUUUUUUUUUUUUAUUUUGGUGAUGUAAUUUUGAAUAGUUUGGAACACUAUUUAUUGGGUAACAUCUUCUCAGGGAUGCUAGAUGAUUGAGUAUCUACUGAAGGAUACCAGGAAGGUACACCUACUGAUGGGUGAUGGUAAGGUUUGCACCUACUGGUGGGUGCUAGAAAGAGUUUGGGUCAGACUCGUUACGUUAAACAAGUGCUACCUGGGCGACAAUCCAGUUGAUUGAUAUAUUUUUGUUUCUUGUUUUUAUUCUGUUCUAAGUUGUGUUUUAGGCGUUUGGUUGUUAAAUGUUUGAGUGGAGUGAGUGAAAAUUGCAUGAAAUUCGAAAUUUGAGAGUUGAAUUUGAGUGGCAUUUGGUCAAUGACGCUUAGGGCAAGCUAGGAAGAAGAAGACUUGAUCUCGCACAUACCGCUCAACGGUAACUAGCGUUGAGCGCCGACACUAUAGAUCAUAUUUGGGGUUUUAAAACUUUGGCCCCAGCGUGAGUUGCCUCAUUGCACACUUCACUUACCCUAGGUCUCGCCCUAACCUCUCCAUUCGACCCUCACUCAUUUUGACCACUCUUAAGCCCUCUCCAAAGCACUCUCUCCAUUUUUCC